AAGCAUUCAAGAUCAAUCAAGUUUUUCUAAAUCAUCAAUCAUCUCUUCCACAAAUAUAUAUAUAUAUAUAUAUAGCCUCCUAUUUCUAACAUUUCCCAUCGUAAAAUUUUAUAGGAACUUGAGGGAGUCUGAUCCAAAUAGCAGUGAUUGAUUGUUUUGCUUAUGCUGCCACAAAGUUUGGUUCCCAGAGUUGCAAUAAAAAGAAAUUUUCAAAUAUAAAUCAUGGUCUAUUUAGUAGGGAGCUCACCCCCAGAUCGAUUAGUUGAAAACGGUUCUUAAGAUUUCCAAAGUUCAAUCAACUUUCUUUUUAAAACAUCGUGAAGGAUUCUUUUUUUUUUGUAAUUUAAUUACGAGGGAGAAUCUCCACGGAUAGUAGAUUCUUGAUUUGUCUUCCUUUGUAAUUGGCCAAUGUGCAGCAUGUAAUUGAAUUUUCUCAUUAUCAAAAGUUAAGUUAGUUUUCAUGGGGAUUUGAUGUAGCGGUGGUGAUUGAAUAAAUAUAUUAUUAUUGUAUUCAUCUGCCAUUAAUUUGUGCUUGAAAGAAGAGCAAUCAGUUUUCAUUAAUGGUUGUUCGGAAUUUAUGUCCGGUGGUUGUGAUGGUUGGGAUUUUAGGACGUAGUGUAGUACGAUUUGGAAGAAUGGAGUGGUAUUUUGGUUGGACUUUUAGAGAGAUGUAGGAGCUUCUCACUUAACAUCUUCACACUUCACGAGAUUUUUUGCAUGUAAAAUACUUAUUGCUGCUAUGUUUCUGAAAUUUUUUCUUAAAUUUUUUCUAUUCAUGUUUUUUGCCCAAUUUUAAUUUAUAUAUCUCUUUUUUUGCACGAAAAAUUAAUUUUUA
rnacentral:lncRNA from 1 species